rnacentral:tRNA from 3 species
AUUUAAAUAGUUUAAGAAAAAUUUUGAUUUGUGGUGUCAAAGAUGUAGGAAAUACUUUAGAUU